rnacentral:misc_RNA from 1 species
CGCACAUUGCGCCCCCUGGUAUUCCGGGGGGCAUGCCUGUUCGAGCGUCAUUAUGACCAAUCCCGCAAGGGGUCUUGGGGCCUGCAGUCUCUGCAGCCCUUAAAAUCAGUGGCGGCGCCAGCGGUGCUCUCAGCGUAGUAAUACUCCUCGCUCGGGAACCACGGUGGAUGCUUGCCAGCAACUCCAACUAUCUUUAGGUUGACCUCGGAUCAGGUAGGGAUACCCGCUGAACUUAA